rnacentral:rRNA from 1 species
UACGUAGGGUGCGAGCGUUAAUCGGAAUUACUGGGCGUAAAGCGUGCGCAGGCGGUUCGUUGUGUCGGCGGUGAAAGCCCCGGGCUUAACCUGGGAAUGGCCGUUGAAACUGGCGAACUGGAGUGUGGCAGAGGGGGGUGGAAUUCCGCGUGUAGCAGUGAAAUGCGUAGAGAUGCGGAGGAACACCGAUGGCGAAGGCAGCCCCCCUGGGCUAACACUGACGCUAAGGCACGAAAGCGUGGGGAGCGAACAGG